rnacentral:ncRNA from 2 species
AUGCUGACAUAUUUACUAGAGGGU